GUAUAAGUUUGAAAGGCAAUCAAGCCCUAUUUUUAUAUAUAUAAAACACAUGCAAUUAGGAGGAUAUUAAAAACAUAGACAGGAAAGUAUAAGGAAAGUUGGCUUAUGCACAGCAAUCCUCAAAACCGAGUUGCCUCGGAAAGGUAUUCCAAGUCCACAAAAAGUUCACAGGUGGUAAGAAAAGUUGGUGUCAGGUGUGCACAUGCCCCAAAGGGCCAGCAGCAACCCGACCAAGCUUAUUCAAUAAUGAUCCUUCCGCAGGUUCACCUACGGAAA
rnacentral:misc_RNA from 1 species